UACGGAGGGUGCAAGCGUUAUCCGGAUUCACUGGGCUUAAAGGGUGCGUAGGUGGGUCUGUAAGUCAGUGGUGAAAUCUCCGGGCUUAACCCGGAAACUGCCAUUGAUACUAUAGGUCUUGAAUUUUCUGGAGGUGAGCGGAAUAUGUCAUGUAGCGGUGAAAUGCUUAGAUAUGACAUAGAACACCAAUUGCGAAGGCAGCUCGCUACAGGAAUAUUGACACUGAGGCACGAAAGCGUGGGGAUCAAACAGG
rnacentral:rRNA from 1 species